rnacentral:tmRNA from 1 species
GGGGGCGACUUGGCUUCGACGUUAGUGGCAAGACUCUAGGUGCAUGCCGAGCUGUAAGUAUCUCGUUAAACUGCUUGCAAAACAAACUAAACGCAAAUGAUAAACGUUUACUUAGGGCCGCUGCCGCUUAAUUGAGGCAUGUCUUCUCCAAGGAUAUAUUGCGGAUGGUAUAUUCAGCGGAGUCAUUUUCAUCCGUUCGCAUUGAAAUGUGCCUUUGAUUUCAAUGUUCAACUAAAAGGAUCGCUAAUCAAUAUCACGCCAGCCGGAGAUUGAUCAGUUAAAUUUAAAAGGCGGAUCUAAGCAUGUAGAGCCAAAAGUUGAGUGCUAGCGGACGCGGGUUCAAUUCCCGCCGCCUCCACCA